CAGUUGAUGGCCGACAAUCCAAGGGGAAGUUGGAUCGGACCUGGCCUCCUCCCAAUCCUAAGAGUGCUAGGGAGAACCCUGGACAAACACAGGAGCCCAAGGUUUACAAGGCAGGCGGCCAAAAAACUCCUCUGUGGCAGCGUUGGGAAGCAGGUAUGGUGAACGGGCCACUGCCACGGGAACAGGACUGAUACUGGAGGUCACCAAUACCAGGACUUCUAUACCAUUCAUUUUUCAAAUGUAUAACUAAGGAACUAGGAUGGUAGAACUGCAUAAUUCACUACGAUGGCAGAAACUUGAAUUAGUAUUAGCUUGAACAUUCGAUGCUUUGUAAGACUAACACCUGUUUUGUAUAAAACAUUACAAUUUCAUUACAAAUAUUCACAAUGUACAAAAGACAUCCUCUCUCAUUUAACUGCUCUCCUUGUAAAGGUUUAACUGCUGUUCAGUGUUCGAUCAAAAUGACAAAUGUCAUCCACAAUUCAGAGAAAUGUCAUUAUCAAGGAUUGCAUAAAUGUGAAGGUAAUCAAAACUACUAUAAAUGUUUCAAUAAACGUACAAAUGCUGUAA